UACGGAGGGUGCAAGCGUUAUCCGGAUUCACUGGGUUUAAAGGGCGCGUAGGUGGGAAUGUAAGUCAGUGGUGAAAUCUCCGUGCUUAACAUGGAAACUGCCAUUGAUACUAUGUUUCUUGAAUUUUCUGGAGGUCAGCGGAAUAUGUCAUGUAGCGGUGAAAUGCUUAGAUAUGAACAUAGAACACCAAUUGCGAAGGCAGCUGGCUACAGGGAUAUUGACACUGAGGCACGAAAGCGUGGGGAUCAAACAGG
rnacentral:rRNA from 1 species